CAGCAACGUCCAUUUGUGCACGCCUCUUCAUUGGUGCGACAAGGUCUUCAUGCCCUUGAGCAUUCGUCGGGUUGUCUGUGUUGCCUACCUAAAUGACGGUAUCGUAUCGUCCAUCAAUGUCCCUUUUCAUCGUGGGUCGUUUGUGCGGCUCGCGGUGAACCUUGAAGCGGUCUCUUUGAUCCAUCUUGUCGACGCUUGUGCGUCUUCGAUGUGGCUCGUUGGGCACGGCUUGGUUUUUCGGAUACGGAAGCUUUUAUGGGCAUGCGGUCUUUUAUGAUUGCUUGUUUGCCCUUAUCAAGCGUUCUYGCUUCUUUGAAACGACCGUUGGUCACGUCUCGACAUGUUCGUGCGUGGCCGAUGACGUCGAAG
rnacentral:misc_RNA from 1 species